UGCCAACAUCAGCGAGGAAACUUGAAGAACAUUCUGGGAUGAAAAGAACUGUCCUACGUAAUAACUGGACAACACUGACUCAGUUCGAAGACAACCAUCUAGUAUGAAGCUAAUGAGAUUUACUCCUGUGACCAGUCUGCUGCUUGUGACAGUUCUGCAGUUUUCGUAUGCAGUUGCUGAAACCAUGGAUUCAGAUGCGACAGAUGCCACGAUCGGAUCAGAUACGGCAGCCACGACACUGAGCCCAAACUCCGGAUCACAUACGACAGACGCCGGAUCAGAUAUGGCAGCCACGACACUGAGCCCGGACUCCGGAUCACAUAAUUCAGACACCGGAUUAGAUAUGGCAGCCACGACACUGAGCCCGAACUCCGGGUCACAUACGACAGGCGCCGGAUCAGAUACGGCAGCCACGGGAUCAGACACAACUAACACAGGAUCAGAUGCGACAGACGCCGGAUCAGAUACGACAAUCGCGACAUUGAUCCUGAUUGAUGAAUCAGAUGCGACAGCAACGACACAUAUCACCGAAUUCGAUAUGGCAGAGACGACAAUCAGCCAUGGCACCUCCGUGACCAUAACAAAAUGCUCUUUUGUGCUGACUCUGGUGUCUGUGUUACUCAUAUCAGCUCUGCAGUCAUUGUAAUACGAAUGCAUUUUUAUUUUUAUAUUAAUUCACAUGAAAAGGACACUGUAUGCACACGUUACUGUCUCAUUCGUGAAAUGCCUAAGGUAACAUGUAACCCAACUAGGCCUAUUCAACUGCGCAACUGGUGUCGAGUAAGUACGCAGUUCAGCGAUAAUUAUUUCUGGUAAUUAGCAUAUUCUGAGUACAGGAGCGAAGGCAAAUAUGAAGGCUGGGUCCAAAAAUUGGUGAUAAUAAAUAAUAUGUUCAUCAAACAAUAUUUUUAUAUUCUGUUCCUAUGUUUCCAUAAAACAGACUGUCUGCAAUGAAACAAUAAACACUAUAUAAAUUGC